rnacentral:rRNA from 1 species
GACGAACGCUGGCGGCGUGCUUAACACAUGCAAGUCGAACGGAAAGGCCCUGCUUUUGUUGGGUGCUCGAGUGGCGAACGGGUGAGUAACACGUGAGUAACCUGCCCUUGACUUUGGGAUAACUUCAGGAAACUGGGGCUAAUACCGGAUAGGAUCUCCUGCUGCAUGGUGGGGGUUGGAAAGUUUCGGCGGUUGUGGAUGGACUCGCGGCUUAUCAGCUUGUUGGUGGGGUAGUGGCUUACCAAGGCUUUGACGGGUAGCCGGCAUGAGAGGGUGACCGGCCACAUUGGGACUGAGAUACGGCCCAGACUCCUACGGGAGGCAGCAGUGGGGAAUAUUGCACAACGGGCGGAAGCCUGAUGCAGCAACGCCGCGUGCGGGAUGACGGCCUUCGGGUUGUAAACCGCUUUCGCCUGUGACGAAGCGUGCGUGACGGUAAUGGGUAAAGAAGCACCGGCUAACUACGUG